AUUCUUGUGAUAGUGAAUAAGUCUCAUGAGAUCUGAUGAUCCGAUGGUUUAUCAGGGAUUUCCACUUUUGCAUCUUAAUCAUUUUUCCCUUGCCGCCACCAUGUAAGAAGUGCCUUUUGCCUCCCACCAUGAAUCUGAGGCCUCCCAAGCCAUUUGGAACUGUCUUUUAUUGGGUGCUGGUUCUUAUCUCUGUCAAACUAUCAAAUGCAGAGUGAGUUUUGUCAAACUAUCAAAUGCAGAGUGAGUUGGAGACCUGCCAGAGCACCCAGAGGGUGGAAUGAACAACAGAGAGGGAACAGAAAAGGAGAACACAGAUGGAGACAGAGAUGGGAAGCACAGGCACCACCUACUGGCAAAGACUGUGCACUUGCACAGACGAGAGAGCUGAAAAGUUGGUCAUGGAUGGAAAUAACCGCUGGUUUCACAAAUGAGGAGGUAGAAAAUUCCACUUAAUUUCACCAUUAGAAUGCUCGGCAGAAAAAAAAAAAAACUUGGAUUACUGAGCUACAGAACAACCCAGACUCACUGCACUGGGAUUCCCAGGCCUUUCCUUACGAGUAGAUCACAAUGCUAACAAAGGGGACAAUAUCCAUCAGCCAGGAUCUCGUUGGGUAUGAAUAACCCUCUCUCUUAUAAAAAAAAUAAAUAUGUUC